AACGAAGUGAAGCAUGUUAUUUAAUACGAAAGUACGCGUAAAAUCUUACCAGUUCUUGCAUAGCCAAUCCCUCUUAUUUUUAGAUAAAAACUCCUCCCUUCUUUAUCCAUAGGAGGGAGGAGAAGAUUUUUAAAUUUAAGACUGGAUUGAGUGAUAAUUAUUUAUUAAUAAGUUUGAUUACCUUUUCUUGUUUCUUCCCUAUCUAUCCCUUUUUCUAUGGGGAGACAUAUAUAUGUUUUUGUAUUUCUAUUUAAGUAUAGGAUCAAUAGCAAAAUAGUCCCCUCCUAAAGGAGUAUAGGAAUGGAGGAGACAAAAAUAGUGUAAGAAUAUUUAUUUAUAUUAAUUUAUCCGUUUACAGGU
rnacentral:rRNA from 1 species